rnacentral:tRNA from 1 species
UACGCGGUGGCCGAGUGGUUAAGGCGAUCGACUGCUAAUCCAUUGGGGAUUCCCGCGUGACUUCGAAUCUCACCUGUGUCG